UGGGGAAUCUUGGACAAUGGGCGCAAGCCUGAUCCAGCCAUGCCGCGUGAGUGAAGAAGGUCUUCGGAUUGUAAAGCUCUUUUGCCGGGACGCGGUACCGGAGAAUAAGCCCCGGCAAACUUCGUGCCAGCAGCCGCGGUAAUACGAAGGGGGCUAGCGUUGUUCGGAAUUACUGGGCGUAAAGCGCACGUAGGCGGGUCGUUAAGUCAGGGGUGAAAUCCCGGGCUCAAUCCGGAACUGCCUUUGAUACUGGCGAUCUCGAGAUCGGAAGAGGUGAGUGGAAUUCCCAGUGUAGAGGUGAAAUUCGUAGAUAUUGGGAAGAACACCAGUGGCGAAGGCGGCUCACUGGCCGAUACUGACGCUGAGGUGCGAAAGCGUGGGGAGCAAACAGGAUUAGAUACCCGAGUAGU
rnacentral:rRNA from 1 species